ACGUAGGGACCAAGCGUUGUUCGGAUUUACUGGGCGUAAAGGGCGCGUAGGCGGCGUGGUAAGUCACUUGUGAAAUCUCUGAGCUUAACUCAGAACGGCCAAGUGAUACUGCUGUGCUAGAGUGCAGAAGGGGCAAUCGGAAUUCUUGGUGUAGCGGUGAAAUGCGUAGAGAUCGGGAGGAACAUCUGUGGCGAAGGCGACUGCCUGGACCAGCACUGACACUGAGGCACGAAAGCGUGGGGAGCAAACAGGA
rnacentral:rRNA from 1 species